CCAACUUUAUUUGAGACAUUUGAAAUUGAAUUAUUGAUUUGAUUAUCAUAAAUGAUAGAUUUUUAGUAUUGAUAUUGUGAUCUAAUGUUGUGACUUGAGUGUCUGAUUAUUCAGCCUUGCACGCCCGUGCGGUCCGCCGUGCGGGUGUGCGGCGUCUGGCGCGUCCCGGGCCUAAGUUCGGGUUCGGGGCGUGACAGAUUUAGUGGUAUCAGAGCUUAGGUUAACGAUCACUAAGGACAUCAGAACAAAAGAACAAUAACUAAUGAAAACCCUAGGAGCAUAGGGACACAUGUGAGGAAAUGAGAGUGGGGUAGUAAACUCAUAGGAUGAUUUUUGACUUAACCCUAACUUGUGGUAUUAUGUCUGUAUCAGGAUGCCGCCCCGCCGUGCUCGUGUACCACCUCGUCGUCUGAUUGAGACGAUGGGAGAUGAUCCGGCGACUCCUCGCCCAGCGGAGCAGUUCAGGAAGAGGAGAUUGCUCCGACAGUUUUAGACCGACCAGAACAGGAUCAGGCGGGAGGAUCGACCCCAGUAUUGGAACUGGUCAGGGAGGUGAUUGGGCUGGUCAGACAGCAGAGGGACCCACAGCCACAGCAUCCCUCUGCUAGCUCGUCGGAUCAGGGGAGGAGCAUUGCAGAAUUUCGAAAGUUGGCU
rnacentral:lncRNA from 1 species